AUUUAAAAGUUUGUGCUUUGAUUUUUUCAGAAAAUUUGUGUUAAAUAUAAAGAAUGAAUAUGUUUAAGAAAAUUGAAAAUAUGAAUGUGGAUGGAGAUCUACAGAUAAUGUUGUGUGAGAAGAGAUUUGAUUUACCGUAUCUCAGCAUUAAUUUCCAAACAGAAUAUGGAAAUAAAGAUGAUUUUAUCAGUUGGGAUUUGGAAAGCUAUGGAAAAACAAAUUAUAUGAAAAUUCUAAUCGAUCUUGCUGAGGAUUAUUUUGCUACGAACAUUUCAAUUUGCAACAGGAUGAUAAUCGUUGCGAUGAGUGCGAAGAUCAUCACGUAUCGCGUGCUCAGAAAGUUAAGCUACAAGCUGUCAACAAUUAUUUAAACAGAAAUUCAGAGUUAUUCUGUGAAGAACAAUUUGACCCUCUUGCUCUGUUUGUAAUGUCGUACUAAGAGUACGACAUUACAAACAGAUGAUGAUGAUUAGGAUUUUUUUUUCAGUUGGGACUUAAAGGGUAACAAAAGACAGGAUAUUUGGACAUUGCUCGUGAUCUUACUAAAGAUUGUUUUAAUGACAAUGAUUC